GACGGUAAUUAAGAUUUUAUUUUUUUAUGUUAGUUAUUAUUAUUUCUAUUUUAUAAGUAUUUUCUUAUUGGUUAAACCGAAAAUCGAACCGUUAAAGACCAAAAAUCGAUAAACUGAAACCGAUAAAAAAUAUCUUAUUAAUUUUAUAUAUUUAAAAAUCGAUAAACCGAACCAAACCAACCGAUACACACCCUAAGCAAAACUUAAAAGCCCAUUUUCUUCUCAGUAGACUUAUCCACCGUGAGUGGCCGACCUACUAAACUUCUAAUUUCACUCAAGCCUUUGGGGCUCCAGUAUUUAAAGUUCAGCCCUGGUAAUUUAAUCCAAAUUGGCACUGUCAAUAACUUAUCUUUUGAGAACUCCAUCUCAGGUGAGACCCUGACAAUAAAUGGUUUAUUGUCGAAGUAGUAGAUUCCUCCCUGUAGUGCUUCCAUUUUGCCUUCCUUAUUGUCAAAUCUUAUUAACACAAUUCCAUUCUUCAUCAUUGCUAUCUUGUUUAAUCCAUAUUACCCCCAAAUACUUUGAAUAAAUCCAUUCAAAAUCGAAAAAGGGGGAUGAGCCCCAAGGACAUAACAAGCCAGUGCAUUUUUCCAGUAUUCCACCUCCAUUUCGAUAUCCUCCGAGUCAAUAUCACCUAUCAACUGGUUGCCCACUUGUUCUAGAUCAAUAUAUUCAAGUUUAAAUUCUGUAUUUGUUAACUUCAAGAUGUCAUAAUCCUUCCAUAUCGAUUGUACCUCUGGAGGUUUUCCCCCAAUAGUUCCACUAGAUUGAGCUUCUUCAAUAUCUACUUCAUCCGCCCAAGAGAGCUUCGUCCCAUCUGUGUUGAUACAAGUCGACCAUUCUUGUACCCGCACCUUUGCCGAUGUUGGUUCAGAUACCUUCACCGGAGUUCGUGCCCCUGUCUCUACUUGUCCUUUUAACCCUGCUACUGUUUUAUUGCCUUUUGCAUAAAAUCCACUAUUUGAUAGUCCAACUCCACUAUUUGAUAGUCCACUUCCACCUGUAGCCAGCUUCUAUCCCUGUAUUGGAGCCUUCAUCGUCGAUUUUCUAGCUAGGGUCGUGUUCGUCAGCCUCCUGCCCAUGGCUGGGGCACGUUAGCUAGCUGCACCUGGAGAGCGUUUUUGGAGACGUACCUUUUUAAAAAAAAAAAAAAUAUAUCUUUUGAUAAAAGCAAUAGGUGAUUUUCUCUUACUAUUUCAAUUUAUGUAUAUAUAUAUAUAUAUAUAUGUAUAGAUGUUAUCUCUGUC
rnacentral:lncRNA from 1 species